GUAUUUCGCUCCCUAACCCUUGCUCCUUCUUCCUCCUUCUUCUCUCUCUCUCUUUCUCUCUCUCUUCCUUGUGUGCCUUCAGUCUGGGAGGCCCUUUGCUGAUUCCAACUGGAACAUCUAACAUGGGACACUAAUUCAGCUGACUGGAGGAAAUCUCUUCACUGCUGGCGCUGACAACGGAAGACUGAGGGUGACCGGGAUCCUUCACCCCCAUGCCUAGUGCACUAAGAUAGGGAAGCUAAAGGCAGACUCGGGAUGCCUGCAACUGCAGGAAGAUGUAUUGGAACAGACACAAAACUCUCCCUCCCAGAUAAGCACAACAAAGAGACACAGAAGCAGUCCAAGCCUCUGAUAAACUCUCCCACCCUAAAUCCUUAAAAAUUCUUAGUCUGUAAGAGAGUGCGGCUUCUGACGUAACUCAGAAGGGUCAGAAGUCCCUCCCAGGUUUAAAAUAAAUCUGUUGACUGUCAAGCCACCCUUCAUGUUUCUCUCCUCUUUCUUUAAUUCUUACAGAGGCUGCAGUGAGCUAUCAUACCACUGCACUCCAGCCUGGGUGACAGACCAAGACCCUGUCUCAAAAAAAAAAAAAAAAAGAAGCCCUGGCGAGGUGGCUCAUGCCUGUAAUCCCAGCACUUUGGGAGGCCGAGAAGGGUAGAUCACUUGAGGAAGUGGGCAAGACAAGAAGCCUGGUGAGGAGCCACCGUGAGGCAGUUUCU
rnacentral:lncRNA from 1 species